rnacentral:rRNA from 1 species
UACGGGGGGCGAAGCGUUGUUCGGAAUUACUGGGCGUAAAGGGCUCGUAGGCGGCCAACUAAGUCAUACGUGAAAUCCCUCGGCUUAACCGGGGAACUGCGUCUGAUACUGGAUGGCUUGAGUUCGGGAGAGGGAUGCGGAAUUCCAGGUGUAGCGGUGAAAUGCGUAGAUAUCUGGAGGAACACCGGUGGCGAAGGCGAACAUCCUGGACCCGGUAUUGACGCGU